UACGUAGGGUGCGAGCGUUAAUCGGAAUUACUGGGCGUAAAGCGUGCGCAGGCGGUUCGUUGUGUCGGUGGUGAAAGCCCCGGGCUUAACCUGGGAAUGGCCAUGGAAACUGGCGAACUGGAGUGUGGCAGAGGGGGGUGGAAUUCCGAGUGUAGAGGUGAAAUUCGUAGAUAUUCGGAAGAACACCAGUGGCGAAGGCGGCUCACUGGACUGGUAUUGACGCUGAGGUGCGAAAGCGUGGGGAGCAAACAGG
rnacentral:rRNA from 1 species